rnacentral:tRNA from 1 species
GAUAAGGUGGCUGAAAAAAUAGGUGUUAGAUUGUAAAUUUAAGAAUAAGGUAAAUCCUUUCUUAUCA